AUUGCAAGUCCCGCGCUCUGUCUCCAGGGGGCGCUGCUGAGGCGUCCCACUUAAGACACUCCAAUGUAAGAUGUUCAGAGUACUUGGCUUUCCCCACAUUCGUCUCCUUUCUCCCAAACUCAUCCUUUGCCGUCAAACAGUGUGAAAGGGGUAUUUGCAGACCGAUGUUUAUGCGUUCGUAGACUACUUGUAAUACUGAAAAUUCACACAUGUGAGAUGGGAGAAUCCUCCUUGCUGGCAUUGGUGAAACAAGUAUGAUAUUGGGGAAAUCUGCGAGACAAGAAACUGUCAGCCCAGAAAGACAGAUGAGGGCUAACGCCUGCCAACAACCCCCAGAUGCUUGGAAGUGGAUCAACCCUAGUAGAGUCUUCACAUGAGAAACCAGUCUUGGCUGAUACCUUGACAGCCCACUGCAAGGACCCAGCUAAGCUGUGCCUGGAUCUUCAUCCACAGAUACUCUGUGCUGUGUGACAUAUGGCCUCUUAGUUCCCUGACCUGGAAUGGAACCUGAGCCUGCUGCAUUGGAAGUGCAGAAUCUUAACCCUUGGACUGCCAUGGA
ensembl:lncRNA